UCAUAAUAUUCAGAUUAAGGUGGAAUAUUUUUAAGUUGGCUAAGACUAUUUAUGUUCAUCAAUACCAUUUGAUUGAGCGUAGCAGGCGCCGUCGAGCCCUCAGCUUGCUAAGAAACAAUGUAGACGACUUUUAGGAUAUUCCCGAUGCGGAAUUUAUAAAAAAAGCAGUUGCUUGGGAAGCAGACUGUAAUUAGUCAAGUGUGGGAGUUCGCUCUACUUAGGCAUUCCCAAACCACGUCGGAAUGAAGAAAUAUUGACGGAGGCAAAGUUACUGGUAGCACUAGCAUUUUAUGCAUCUGGCUCUAAAAAAUAACGAUUGGGCAGAGAGUCCCCCACAAUGUUUCUCCGAUCACUGCCUCAAGAGCUGUGGGACAAAGAACGGAGGUGCUUAACACCAAAUUUAAUAAAAAGUGUUAAAUGUCCAGAGUGAUAAGGAUGCCAUUAAGGCUAAGUUAAGAAAUUAUAUUUUGCCAGUUAUAUGCUGAGUACUUUACCAAGAAGAAUGCUUUUUCAGCUUCUAUGAAAAAAAUUACUUUAGAUAUCAUAGAGGGGACACAUGUGGCAAUAAUAAGGCCAAAUGUUCAUGAAAGGCAAUAUUAUAACACUAAGGUGAGUUUUUCCUCUGUUGAAAACUAUGAUGACCACAACUUAAAUACUAUAGAGGGGA